rnacentral:tRNA from 1 species
UCCCUGGUGGCUCAGAUGGUAAAGCGUCUGCCUACAAUGCAGGAGACCCAGGUUCAAUCCGUGGAUCGGGAA